rnacentral:rRNA from 1 species
AUCUAGCUUGCUAAAUUGAUGGCGAGUGGCGAACGGGUGAGUAAUACAUCGGAACGUGCCCUGUAGUGGGGGAUAACUAGUCGAAAGAUUAGCUAAUACCGCAUACGACCUGAGGGUGAAAGUGGGGGACC